AACGAACGCUGGCGGCAGGCCUAACACAUGCAAGUCGAACGAAGUCUUCGGACUUAGUGGCGCACGGGUGAGUAACACGUGGGAAUAUACCUUACGCUGGGGGAUAACAUCGGGAAACUGAUGCUAAUACCGCAUACGCCCUUCGGGGGAAAGAUUUAUCGGCGAAAGAUUAGCCCGCGUCCGAUUAGCUAGUUGGUGAGGUAAUGGCUCACCAAGGCUCCGAUCGGUAGCUGGUCUGAGAGGAUGACCAGCCACACUGGGACUGAGACACGGCCCAGACUCCUACGGGAGGCAGCAGUGGGGAAUAUUGGACAAUGGGCGCAAGCCUGAUCCAGCCAUGCCGCGUGAGUGAUGAAGGCCUUAGGGUUGUAAAGCUCUUUCACCCACGACGAUGAUGACGGUAGUGGGAGAAGAAGCCCCGGCUAACUUCGUG
rnacentral:rRNA from 1 species